ACGGAGGGGGUUAGCGUUGUUCGGAAUUACUGGGCGUAAAGCGUACGUAGGCGGAUCAGAAAGUAUGGGGUGAAAUCCCAGGGCUCAACCCUGGAACUGCCUCAUAAACUCCUGGUCUAGAGUUCGAGAGAGGUGAGUGGAAUUCCGAGUGUAGAGGUGAAAUUCGUAGAUAUUCGGAGGAACACCAGUGGCGAAGGCGGCUCACUGGCUCGAUACUGACGCUGAGGUACGAAAGUGUGGGGAGCAAACAGGAUUAGAUACCCUGGUAGUCCACACCGUAAACGAUGAAUGCCAGUCGUCGGGUAGCAUGCUAUUCGGUGACACACCUAACGGAUUAAGCAUUCCGCCUGGGGAGUACGGUCGCAAGAUUA
rnacentral:rRNA from 1 species